UACGAAGGGGGCUAGCGUUGCUCGGAAUUACUGGGCGUAAAGGGCGCGUAGGCGGAUAGUUUAGUCAGAGGUGAAAGCCCAGGGCUCAACCUUGGAAAUGCCUUUGAUACUGGCUAUCUUGAGUUCGGGAGAGGUGAGUGGAAUGCCGAGUGUAGAGGUGAAAUUCGUAGAUAUUCGGCGGAACACCAGUGGCGAAGGCGACUCACUGGCCCGAUACUGACGCUGAGGCGCGAAAGCGUGGGGAGCAAACAGG
rnacentral:rRNA from 1 species